rnacentral:rRNA from 1 species
AGAACGAACGCUGGCGGCACGCCUAACACAUGCAAGUCGAGCGCCCAGCAAUGGGAGCGGCGGACGGGUGAGGAACACGUGGGAACAUGCCUUUCGGUUCGGCACAACUGCGGGAAACUGCAGCUAAUUCCGGAUACGCCCUUACGGGGAAAGAUUUAUCGCCGAAAGAUUGGCCCGCGUCUGAUUAGCUAGUUGGUGAGGUAAUGGCUCACCAAGGCUUCGAUCAGUAGCUGGUUUGAGAGAACGACCAGCCACACUGGGACUGAGACACGGCCCAGACUCCUACGGGAGGCAGCAGUGGGGAAUCUUGGACAAUGGAGGAAACUCUGAUCCAGCGAUGCCGCGUGAGUGAUGAAGGCCUUCGGGUUGUAAAACUCUUUUACCAGGGAAGAUAAUGACUGUACCUGGAGAAUAAGCCCCGGCUAACUUCGCGCCAGCAGCCGC